AUGUUGACCUGGGCUUGGACAACAUGGACAUAUGAAUCAGCUACCAUGCCUGACAGUUUGGUGGACAUUGAAGAUAGGGAUGCACUGUCCAAUUUCAGCAAACUUGUAAUAGUCGAAUCAGCCUCCUCUAGUUUGUUGAGCCGGAGAAGCGCUUCGGACCUCAUGGCAAGGAGCUGCAUAAGAAACAUGGUCUGCUCCGUUGGCAAUGGCGGCGUCUGCUUCCCUCAGCGCGCUCUUCCAGUCCCCGACCCUCCUCGCAUCCAUGCAUUUCCCCAGAUGGCUCUCCACCUCAUGAAGUUUCUGCCACUCAGCAGGGUCAGACUGGUUCGUGUUCCCGGCCAGCGUAAGCUGCCUCCUUGCCUUCUCAACCAUCCCAAACCUGCAAUGUGGCCAUCACCAAUGCCAUUUCAGUCACAAUUCAAGCGCGCGAUUACCGCACAUUGA
rnacentral:rRNA from 1 species